AAACAUGUUCUCUUGAAAAAGAUUUUUAUUUUUUUACCGGCAAUAUUGACCGAUAUUUGACUGAUAUAUCACUGAUAUUUGACUGAUAUAACCGAUAUAUAUCACUGAAUUGUUAGUGUUAAAUUGCUAUAUAUAUAAAUUCUGCAUGAUAUUAAAUAUAACCGAUAUAUAUCACUGAAUUGUUAGUGUUAAAUUGCUAUAUAUAUAAAUUCUGCAUGAUAUUAAAUAUAACCGAUAUAUAUCACUGAAUUGUUAGUGUUAAAUUGCUAUAUAUAUAAAUUCUGCAUGAUAUUAAAUAUAACCGAUAUAUAUCACUGAAUUGUUAGUGUUAAAUUGCUAUAUAUAUAAAUUCUGCAUGAUAUUAAAUAUAACCGAUAUAUAUCACUGAAUUGUUAGUGUUAAAUUGCUAUAUAUAUAAAUUCUGCAUGAUAUUAAAUAUAACCGAUAUAUAUCACUGAAUUGUUAGUGUUAAAUUGCUAUAUAUAUAAAUUCUGCAUGAUAUUAAAUAUAACCGAUAUAUAUCACUGAAUUGUUAGUGUUAAAUUGCUAUAUAUAUAAAUUCUGCAUGAUAUUAAAUAUAACCGAUAUAUAUCACUGAAUUGUUAGUGUUAAAUUGCUAUAUAUAUAAAUUCUGCAUGAUAUUAAAUAUAACCGAUAUAUAUCACUGAAUUGUUAGUGUUAAAUUGCUAUAUAUAUAAAUUCUGCAUGAUAUUAAAAUUACAGAUAUUCCACCGCGAUAACCUAUAUCUCAAAUAUUGGUCCUUGACCGAAAUCCGAUAUUUUACCUCAUUAACUGCAUAGGGUCAGCGUCUCGUUUUAGAUAGCGAUUAUAAUUUACAACAGCAAAAAGACAUAAACUAUUGACAUUCAAUUUGAUUAGAUUUUGCAGUAGCGCAACUUCACUCGUAAAGUGGUCAUCUUCGGUAGCGUCUAACCCAUUUAAAAUUCGAAACAAAUAAAACCAUCCAUUUUUGAAAAAAAAAAAAAUUCUACAAAUAAUCAAUGAAUGCUCAAAACAUGCAUACCUUCCUGAAGUCACCCUCUAUCAAGUUUUCAGCCAACGACGGGCCGACAGCUAAGAAUCCCCUGCCAAUAGGACUGUAAGGAACUAUCCCAAUGCCAAGUUCUCUGCAAAAGCGGCCAUAACAAUCAUAUCAUCAUCAAACACAUAAACAAGUUGUUGAUGAUCCUCAACUAACAUCAAAAUCUCUUGAAGAUGACCUGCAAGUAGGAAUAAUUUCAUCUUCCAAAUCUCUUGACCAUAAAGACCACUCGUUCUGUACGGCUGUUAUCGGAUGAACCGCAUGAGCCCUUCUGAUCGUUGAAGCACACGCUUCUGAUAAUCCCACAUACUUCACUUUCCCUUCCUCAACCAGUUUCUUCAGUUCUCCCAUCUUUCAAUUACAUAAUAUCACAUAUACAAGUGUUAAUUAACAACAGCUCAGUCUUAACAAUUUCUACCAUACAAGAUUUAAGAGUAACCUGUCAUUUUGGUCCCUGAGGUUUGGGUUUGGUGGUUAGACAAAAAACCUGAAUUACCUGAACUGUUUAACCCGAGACCGGAUUAACCCGAACUACAUUGGUUCACUUUUGGUCUGUUAUCAAGAAUUCGUGAAUACAGAUUAACUUUCCAAAAAGUAUAAGGGUUAUGUUCUUGUGUUGAAUUAUGUUAUCUUUUCAAACAACGUGAAGGUUGGGAUCUUUCGGACCACAAGUGUAACAUGUUUUGAAAAAAUUAACAAAUAUAUUCAACCCAAGAUACCCGAAUAACACGACCCAAUAACCGCACGACCCGAAUCCGACAAACCCGAUGGUGAUUCGGAUCAGUUUUCGGAUACAAUAGCAUACACAAAAUUAGGGCUGCAAACAAACCAAAAGUUCGGUGAACAGUUCGUGAACCGUUCAGCUAGAAGUUCUUUUGUGUUAACGAACACAAACAAGAAAUUUCGUUCGUUUAGCUCGAUGAAUGAGCAUGAACAGAGGCCGUGUUCGUUCAUUUAUGUUCGUGAACGUUCGGUAACGUGUACGUUUGUGUGCGAUGGUUCAUUAGUGUUUUUAGUUUUUAUAUUUUAUUUAAAUACUUCAAAAUCCCGACAAAUAAAUAUUUAAUAAAUGUCAUUAUAUUAAAUAUUUUGUUCAUGGACGCUUGUUUAUGUUCGUUUGUUUCCAUUUGUGUUCAUGAAUAUCAGCUUGUGCUCAUUUGUGUUCAUCAACAUUCGUUUUCGUUCGUUAACUAACAAACAUAAAACCUCGUUCGGCAAGUGUUCAUGAACAAUUCGUGAACACAUGUAUUUCUUAAAAACGAACACAAACAAGGUCGUUCAGUUCGUUUGCAGCCCUACACAAACUACCCGAAUAACCCGACCCAAACAAUAGCAUACACACAGAAAAGCAAGAGAGACUCACCGUGACUUCGAUUGGGACUCGAAUAUCAAUCCGAUGAAUAUAGUAGAGAUCAAUACAAUCAAUAUCAAGUCUCUUCAGGCUAGCUUCACAACAUGACCGUACAUACGCCGGAUCACCACACGCUUCUGUCUUUCCAUCCACCUGUCGGAUUCCAAAUUUCGUAGCGAUUUGAACUUUGUCUCGAAGUCCUCCUUCUUUCAAAGCCUACAAAAAAAACCCAUAAACUGAAACCAAAAGAUAAAACAAAAAACCUAAAGUUAAAUUAGUGACCUUGCCGACGAGGAUUUCGUUGGUGUGGGGACCGUAGACGUCGGAAGUGUCAAGAAAUGUGACGCCGGAAUCAAUGGCUUGGUGGAUGAGUUUGAUCAUGUCGGGUUGGGGUUUGGGGAGACCGUAGCUUCCGGUCAUACCCAUACAACCCAACCCUUGUGCUGAAACAAGUAGACCUUGUGAGCCUAAUUUCACUUUAGGAACCACGGAAGCCAUUGGUGUUUGUGGAUUAGAGUUUGUGUGGGGUGGAUAUGUUGAUUGAUGAUGAUGAUGAUGAUUAA
rnacentral:lncRNA from 1 species